rnacentral:rRNA from 1 species
GAAUUGACGGGGACCCGCACAAGUAGCGGAGCAUGUGGUUUAAUUCGAAGCAACGCGAAGAACCUUACCUAAGCUUGACAUCCCAAUGACAUCUCCUUAAUCGGAGAGUUCCCUUCGGGGACAUUGGUGACAGGUGGUGCAUGGUUGUCGUCCGCUCGUGUCGUGAGAUGUUGGGUUAAGUCCCGCAACGAGCGCAACCCUUGUCUUUAGUUGCCAUCAUUAAGUUGGGCACUCUAGAGAGACUGCCAGGGAUAACCUGGAGGAAGGUGGGGAUGACGUCAAAUCAUCAUGCC